rnacentral:rRNA from 1 species
UAUAUCCUACGGGGCGCAGCAGUAGGGAAUCUUCCACAAUGGGCGAAAGCCUGAUGGAGCAACGCCGCGUGGGUGAAGAAGGUCUUCGGAUCGUAAAACCCUGUUGUUAGAGAAGAAAGUGCGUGAGAGUAACUGUUCACGUUUCGACGGUAUCUAACCAGAAAGCCACGGCUAACUACGUGCCAGCAGCCGCGGUAAUACGUAGGUGGCAAGCGUUAUCCGGAUUUAUUGGGCGUAAAGGGAACGCAGACGGUCUUUUAUGUCUGAUUGGAAAGCCUUCGCUUUUACCG